UUUCCGAAUUUAGCUGUCCCAACAUUGCAAAAUAACCCUAGCUUCUCUUCAUCGUUCUCUCACUCUCCCUUUGUGCUGCCGCAGCCUUAGUUGUCUUCAAUUGCAGGAACUUCAUUCAGCCUGCAGUGUCUCUACACUCCGACGAUCGACACCGACGCCACUUCCAAAACACGGUUGCAGCUCAAGUCUCGUGGCUCUUCCGUCUCUAUUCCGUAUUUUAAAAGUAAUUUUUAAUAUUCAAUAAUGAAAGAUUUGGGCUGUAUGAAAUGUGCACAGGGAGUAAGAUGCAGUAUCAUUUACUCUUUUUGUUUGUUUCUAAUCAUGACAUAGUGCCAGUUACCUCCACUGGGUAAGACUAAAAUUAUGAUUUCCUUCCAUUGUAGUGUAGGCGAAGGUUCAUUUAGCCUGUAGAACAUAACAAUUGCAUUUACUAGUUGUUUGCAGCUGGCAAUGAAAACAGUUUGGGUAUCCCUAUAA